GUCUUCGUGGUGUAAUGGUCAGCACACUCGACGCGUAACCGAGAGAUCUGUGGUUCAAUUCCCGGCGAGAGCG
rnacentral:tRNA from 1 species